UGAGAACAAGUUUUUCAAGGCAUUUUAACUCACAAAUGUCAGUAGGGAGUUCGACAAGUGCAGUGUCAUCAAGAUAUAGCUCCCUUAAAGAGCACAAACCGUAUAAAGGAGGCAAUUUCUCAAGUUUUGCACAACCCGAGAGAACAAGCUUUUCAAUGCAUUUUAACUCACAAAUGUCGACAGGAAUUUCUUCAAGUGCAGUAUCAUGGAGAUAUAGCUCUCGUAAAGAGCACAAACCAUAUAAAGUAGGAAAUUUCACAAGUUUUGUGCACCCACUAAGAACAAGCUUUUUAAGGCGUUUCAACUCACAAAUGCCGCUUGAGAUACUCUUGAGCCUUUCACAUUUCUCCAUGUUCAACACAACAAGCGAAGUAAGAAAUUUGAUUGAUGAGGGCAAUUCCUCUAUUGCAGUCUGACUUAACACUAAUUCUUUUACAUUCCCUAUGAUCUCUGGAAAAUUUUUGAGAUUUGAGCAGCCACUGAGAUCAAGUUUCCAGACACAUUUGUGAAGACAUCUUGGGAGACUUGUAAGGUUUUUGCAAUUCCUUAUCUCUAAAUGACAUCUAUUGAGGUCCUUCAGGAAUAGGGGCAACUCCUCCAAUCCACAUCCUUCCAGAUCCAACAGUUCUAUACCUAUUGGAAUCUCUGGAAGCAUCUUCAAAUUUGAGCAAUAAGAAAGCCACAAUUCAACAAGAGAUCUCAGCUGAGUAAGGUUUGGAAGACUCCUUAUCUUCUUGCAACCAUGCAGAUUGAGAAUAGCGAGUUUUUGGAGGCAUUCAAUAGAUGAAGGAAUCUCAAGCAAACUCUCACAUCCCUGCAGAAUUAUCCACUCUAGCUCUGUUGCUAGAGAGAGACUUGGGAGUCUCUUCAAGUGCACAGAUUCAGAAAGAUUGAGUCGUUUUAAUUUUUGAGGAUACUGCACAUGGACAAAAUAGAAAACAACUUUGAAAUCAUGUAGGUUAAUUUCCUUUAAGCCAUCACUAGAAAAAUUUAUUUAUUUUUAAAAUCUUGAAUCCACACUUUUCAAAACAUGCACAUUAGCUACCAAUAUUUAAUACCCCUCUAACUGACAUAUUUAACACAAUUACAAAUAUAAAGUAUAGUUACCUUGUCUCCAUCCCAAAGUUGCUCAAUUCUGCUGCCUUCCAUGUCAAGUUCAACAAGAUUAUGCAUAGAAAAGUUAGAUGGCAAAGAUUUGUAAGGGUACUCAUCCCAAUGGAGUAAACUCAAUUUAUUGGAGAGAUGCGAAAGGUGAUUUGUUUGACUAGAUUCAAACAUAGAGCCCAGAGCUUUGUUCUCUGGCCAAUUCCUUGGCCUAAAAAGUUUGAGCAAUCUUAAGUUAUGCAUUUGUGAGAAGGCCACAUGACUUAACUGCAUCAUUUCCAUGUUAGACACAUUCAAAAAUAUGCCUUCAAUUGCUUCCCUCCCCUAACAAUCAAGUGCAAAAGUUAAUAAAUGGUUAUGAGCAAAUAAUAUCAUCAAAAGUAUUUUAAAUUUUGAAUUCUUUACUAAAAAAUGGGUAAUUUCAUGCCAUAUUUCGUAUUAGCAAUUUUAUGAUAUGUUGAAAAUAAAAAUCAUUCAAUGAUUUGGAAUAUUAAAAGCUUUUGAUUUUUUUUUUUCUAGUAAAAAAGUCAGACUUGGGGAAAUUUCAAAAUAAUUUGAAGAUGGAGGAAAUAUUAAACUCAUUGCACAUUAAUACUUGUUAAGCUCUUCAAGUUUAGACAAGCCUUCAUUACUUACAAAAGCUAAUCCUUCCCCUAAUUGAUAUCCCCUUGGUUUAUAUGGUUCCCCAGAUCUCUUGUACGAAAAGGAAAAACUUUUACUGCUUACCUUGUUAGUUGCCAACAUAUGACAAAUGUCCUUAGGGUUCCACAAUCUGCUACAUCUCUGCCGAGCAAUGUACUGACCCAUUUCCCGUAUUAAAUCAUGCAUCCCUAACAUAUUAUUUACAAUAGUUAUGAGACACUUCUCCUGUAAGCGAAUUAAUCCCCAACUUGAAGGAAAAUCACAACCAUCCAGUAUGUUUUCCACCCAACAUUUUCUUUUUCUGUUGAAGAAACAUGCAAUAUCAAGAAAUAUAUCCUUCUCCAUCUGAUCUAGUCCAUCAUAGCUCACUCUCAUGAUUUUUAGAAUGUUUCCAUCAGGAUACUGUUUUAGUUUUCUCAAUACAAUCUCACAUUCUUUUGGAGACUUCUUGCACAGAUGGGAACCCAAGACUUUAAGAGCUAAUGGAACACCUUUUGCAUAAUCUACUGCUCUUUUUGACAACUCCAUAAAAUCCUCUAAGGGAUGCUUUUGUUUGAAGGCUUUGAUACUGAAUAACUGAAGAGCGUCACUAAAUUUGAGCCCCUUAACCUCAUAUAUUUUAUCACAUCUAUAAUUAAGCACCUCUUUAUCUCUGCUUGUAACAACCAGUCUACUCCCUGGGCCAAACCAAUCAUGAUCUCCAGCUAAAGCAUCUAACUGGAUUGAUUCAUUAACAUCAUCAAGAAUAACAAAAACUUUCUUUCGUCUCAGCCUGUCUAUAACAAAAGUGGGAAGUGCAUGAAGCAUUUGUAUGCCCAAAUCCUCAUCCAAUAAAAGUUUUGAGAGAAGGGAUUUCUGUAGAUGAACUAAUUCAUGCUUUGAUGAUUUUUCCCUAACACUGCUAAAAAAGUAGCAAGCAUCAAAUCGAUCAGAUAUUUGACUAGUAAGAGCUUCUGCAAUGGUUGUCUUUCCUAUACCACCCAUUCCCCAAAUUCCAAUAAAACGAACAUCUGUUGACUCAAUACAUAGCAAUGAUAGAAUUUCCGCAAUAUGUGAAUCAAUCCCAACUAAUUGAGACGAAACAGUGAAGGACAUAGGAUACAGUUUCUUCUUAAUUUCAUUGACAACUGCAUCACAUAAUUCUGAUUCAUGCCUAAAAAUAUGCCAUCAAUAACAAAAAGUAUUAGUCCAAUGAAAACUUAGACAUCGAACAAUAAAUCAAUAGGAAAUUCUCCCCUUUUUUUGUACUUGCAGUGGAGACAUAAACCAUAAAUUCAUAACAAGCUGAUAAUUUUACAACAUGCACAAAAUCAUAUCUAUCACAUCUACAUGUCCACUAAAGUGUUUGUGUUGAAUGGCCAGAAGUGACUUCACAGAGGAAGAGCAACAAAUUGAAAAAAAAAAAAGCGUUAAUUUUGGCAUGUUCAAAUGGAAUGUAGUCUUGCUUGUAGCUCUAGCUGGAAUGAUACAAAUGAAUCAGACAAUAUACAAUUGAUUUUUUUUAUAUAUAUAGAAUAUCAUGUUUGAGACUAAGAGUAAAUUAUUACUGCAAUUCAAUAAAAAAGAAUCACAAACAAUAGGCAAGCAAUUAUCAUUCUAAAAAAUAGUUACCUGUAUUUGCUCAAAUCCCAUCCAGAUAGAUUGGCUGCCUCUGUCAAAGCAGAGCUCCACCGCUGCACCCUGUCGAAGCUGUCCUUGAAUCGUUCUUUAACUUCUCCAAAUGCAUCUCCAAAAUUCCCUGUCUGAUUUCUAACAUUAGAAGGGUCUACAUCAUAGAAAACAGAAAAAACCUUCCGCCCCAUUGUUUUCAUACACUCCAUUAUCUUAACGAGUUCAUCCAGGCACCAACGAGAAGAAGCAUAAUUUUCAGAGAAAAUGAUCAAUGAUAUCUUUGAUUCUUCAAUGGUUUUCAGAAGAUUUACUGAGAUCUCUUCUCCUUUAUCAAGACUGACAUCUAUGAAUGUUGUGAUAUGAUUUCGAAGCAGACCAGCAUAAAGAUGGCUGGUAAUAUUUUUGCGGGUAUCAGGACCUCUAAAACUAAGGAACACAUCAUAGGUUGUUUUAGAAGCGACAAUGGAAGAUGAAGUAGAAGCCAUUUUGACAAGACCCUGAAACUGAACUAGAGGAAUUGCAGGAUGUGAGAGGAACGAGUGAGGAAUAUAGGACGGAGGAAGAGCAGAGGCAAGAAAAUCAAACACCCAUAUCAAGAUCAUGAAGAACUUGAGAACCCAUUUGAGAUCUUCUUCCUCCGGGCAGGAAGUUUCGAUGAAAUUGUACAGAAGCAAAGAGGAAUUUCUCAGCAGGGAGACAAACUUUCGGCGAAAGUGGCAUUUGAUAAAAUUACCUUUUUUUUUUAACUUUUGAUUUUAAAUAAAAAAGAUUGCAUAGAUGACGUCAUAUUAAAUAAUUUUAAAGCUUAUAUAUUUAUUAUACACUAGCCUUUAUUACGCACUUUUUUUAUAUUUAUUUUAAUAUUUAUAAUUUAUUUUGUAAAUAACAGAAUUUUAAUUUUUAUAUAAUUUAUUUUUUUAUAUAAUUUUAUAUAAAAAAUAUAAUAAAAUUAAAAUUUAUGUAGAUGAAUAAUAGUUUUGAAAUUUUUAAUAGUAAAUUUAUAUUAAUAUUUAAUUAUAAUUAAUUUUAUUGAAAUAAUUUUAAAUUAUUAUGAGUAAUUUUAAUAAUUUAAUUAUGACGUUUANNNNNNNNNNNNNNNNNNNNNNNNNNNNNNNNNNNNNNNNNNNNNNNNNNNNNNNNNNNNNNNNNNNNNNNNNNNNNNNNNNNNNNNNNNNNNNNNNNNNNNNNNNNNNNNNNNNNNNNNNNNNNNNNNNNNNNNNNNNNNNNNNNNNNNNNNNNNNNNNNNNNNNNNNNNNNNNNNNNNNNNNNNNNNNNNNNNNNNNNNNNNNNNNNNNNNNNNNNNNNNNNNNNNNUAUAAAAAUUUACAUACUAUUAAAAAAAUUAAUUCUAUAUUAACUUUAUUUAACUAACUAAUUGAUAAUUAAAGAAACGUUUGUAAAUUAGUAAUUUUUAUUCAUAAAUUUUGAAAAAAUUAAGAAAAUAUAAAUAUUUUUUUAAUUUAUUCUAAUUUAAUUCAGAACUCCAAAAGCAAAACAUAGUUUAGUUAAACAUUUUGUUUAUUUUUUGCUUUUUAUUAUAUUUAAAGAGAAAAUAUGACAUUUUGUUUAUAUAAAUAUUUAAUUUAUGAGAUCGAUUUUUGCUUUUUUUAACAGAAAUAUAUUAUUUACCAUAGUAGCAACUACCCAAUUACUGAUCUGUGUCAUCUCGAGCGCUUGAAGAGUAAGCAAAUCAUAACUCUUUCAAUCUUUUUAGCAGAUCUGCCAUCUGCGAUGAUGUUGGCCUGACUGGAGCUUCUCUUCCCGUUGUUCUUAUUACUUGUUGCAUAAAAUUUGAAGCGGAAGUGAUUGUCCUUCUCCAAUCCUUACUGCACAAUCUGAAAACGGGUUAGCUGCAAAGAGUGCUGGGUUUGGAUUAUGCUGGGGUUGCAUUGCUGCUACUCAUCUUUUCACCCUUUAAUUUUACUGCAUUACAUUCCCUUGCUAACAAAGCCAGCAACAAUAUUAUUUAAAAUCUUCAUUUAUCCAAUUCACUCAAAUUUUAAAUUGCCAAUUCUCCAAUUCUCUUAAGUCUCUCAUACCUCAAUUCUAUACUUUUAAUUACUAUGAUUUUCAGAUUAGCCAUUCGGUUUUUAUUGUAACCAAUUUAUAUAUAAAUAAACAUGCAAGUUGUUUGAAAAACAUAAUCUACAAAUAAAACUCGAUGCUAUUUUUCAAUUGCAAGUCAAAGUAACUAGUUUAAAGAAUAAACAAAUUAAAAAUCUUUCAACCUUUUAUCAAGUCUGCCAUCUGUAAUGAUAUUGGCCUGAUCGGAGCUUCUCUUCUUGUUGGUAUGAGCGGUUUCUAUCACUUGUUGCAUAAAUUCAGAAUCGGUUGCUGCAUACUGCAAACAGUGCUGGCUAUGGAUUGUGCUUUGGCUGCAUUGGUACUCCUCAUCUUUCGAAACAUACAUCAAGUGGACUCCACAUCGUUUCACCUUUAAUUUUACUACUUCCAGCUGCCUUGCUCCACCAGCACUGUACAUAUUGUGUUCUGCUUUGAAUUCAAACUCCAUCAAAAGCUCAUUGACAUUAGAAAAUUUUUGUAUGAGCCGAGUCUCGCUACAGUAAUGGUUGUGCCAAAGGAACACAUGAUCUGAUUCGAUGGUGGUUUCCAUACGCAUACUUUCAUGACUGAUCUCAGGAGCCACAAACGGCAAGAACAUUUCAUUACCAUCAGUAUUUUUCAGAUGAGAUCCACAUGUAAGCAACAAAUGAUCGAACUUGUUCAUGGAAAGCGGAACCUCGAAUUCUAGAACAACACAAAAGGCGAAACUUAUGUAGAGAGCAUUAACGCAGCAGGGAGGAAGCACAAUAGCCAGUGAAGAUCCUGGAUUUUCAAAGCUGAACCAUUCUGGAAUUUCACGUCCAGGUAAACCAACAAGAAGACCACCACUAAGUUCUCGAAAACCCUGCGUGAAGCGAAUAUGACAGAGAAGAGAAAAAUUAUUUAGAACAAAACCUGGGUUUUAUUAGACAGAGUUAGCAAAGAGACUUACAGAGAUAUUCCUAGAAGUAGCUAGUUCUUCAAUUCUUAGUCGCGCAUUUGCCAAAAUGUUGCCAACUGUAGUAUGCUCCAAAUUUACACAGUUGCAAUAAUUGAAUAGAUAUCUAUUUCCCCACUUUCAUUCAUUGGGAUUUUGUACGAGUGCGAAGGACAAAGGCAAUUUGGCAGUUUUUAGCGAUGUGCAAUUAAAUGCUUGGAGCACUCUUGCUCUCUCUGGAAGCUCUGGUAAAAAUCGGAGUCUUGUGCAGUUGUUUAAACUCAAUAAUCUUAGAGAUGAUAAAGAAACAAUAUCACCUGGGAUUUCUGAAACUGCACUAUCAUCUAGGUAUAAAUCUGUCAAAGACCACAAACCAUAUAAAGGAGGCAAUCUGCCAAGUUUUGAGCAGCCCCAGAGAAGAAGCCUUUCAAGGCAUUUCAACUCACAAAUGCUGUCUGGGAGACUUUGUAGCCUAUUGCAAUUCCCCAGUUGUAACUCAAUAAGUGAAGAGAGUCCUCCAACAGUUGAGGGUAAGUCUUCAAUUGCAGUCUCUUCUAACACUAUUUUUUUCAGAUUUCCAGUAACAUUAGGGAACUUGUUUAGAUUUGAGCAUCUGAAGCAAUCAAGUUCCCUAAUUUUACAGUUCAAAUGAAAACUACUUGGAAGCGUUCUAAGGUUUUUGCACAUACCGAGAGGCAGGUUUUUAAGGUUGUCCAGAGAUUGAAUAGAUGCAGACCAUUCUUCCAUUCCACAUUCUAUUAGCGUCAACUCUUCAAUACAACUUGGAAUUUCUGAAAUUAUCUUCAAAUUUAUGCAGUAGGACAGAUCAAGACUCUUCAGAUUUUUCAACUGAAGGAGACUCGGAAGACUCCUUAGCUUCUUGCACCCACAAAGAUUGAGACAAGCAAGUUUGUAGAGGAACUGAAUAGAAGAGGGAAUCUCGAGCAAACUCAUACAACCCUUAAGAUCCAUCUGCUCUAAGUUUGUAGCCGAAGAGAGAUUUGGGAGUUUGGUUAGUUUCUUGCAUCCAGAAAGACAGAGAGACUUUAAUUUUUUAGGACACUGCAAAAAAUAAAACAGAGAAAUAUACAUAAGAUAAGUCUUCCACACAGCCAGAAACGUCAUAUGAGCCAGAAAUGUUAUAUCAGCUAAAAUUUUCCGUGUAUAUACACACACACACUGAAAAGAAAAACCUCAUAAUUUUUCCAUGUAUAUUUUAGUAGUAAUAAUUAUGUUGGAAUUCUUAGUGAUUGUCAUCAAUUUCUCAAUCAAUCUCUAAUGACUUUAUUAACUAAAUAUUGACCAUUUUAAUUAGAACUAAACAGUCAAUUUUAAAUGAUUAUGUAGCAUUAAUUUUUUACAGAACAGUUUCAUGCAAAUGAGUCCUUCUAGUUUAGACUAUAAAUAUAAUAUUUAAAAUUGGAUUUCUUCUCACUAAGCAUAAUGUUCAUACAAGUAAAUAAAUGUGUGAACAAAAAAGAAAACAAACAUAUCUAUAAUUAUUUUUCAUUAAAUGAGAUUUUGAAGUGGAAGGCUGUUGGUAUUGGUUUGAAAAUUAUAAAAUGGCUAAAUGUUCAAUUUCAGCCCUGAAUUUAUUGGAAAGUUCAAUUUAGCUCAUUUUUUAUUUUCGCUAAACAUUAGUCUAGAAGUUUCAAUUUGAGUUUAAUUUAGUCCAAAAAUCAACAAGCUUGAUUUCUGAAAAUAUAGAGAGCUUAAAUUGAAACUAUUGGUCUAACCAAAAAUUGAAAUGGUGUAAAACGAACUCUUCCAAUAAGUACAAAGAUAAAAUUGAGCAUUAAUCUAUCAUAAAAUUGGAUAAAAAGAUAUUCUAAGAGCUUGUCUAUAUUUUUUUACCUUUUCUAUUAAUCAAAUUGAAAACUCAAUAUUUGAAGCAUACCUUAUCUCCAUUCCAAAGUCUUUCAACCUUACUAUCUUCCAAAUUGAGUAAAACAAGAUUCUCCAUAAAAAAAUAUGGAGGCAUAGACCUGCAAGGAUAUUCCUCCCAAUGUAGUAAACUCAACUUGUUAGGAAGGUGCUGCAGAUGAUUCUUUUUAAGCAUGAAGCUAGACACUUUAUUUGAAGACCUAAAACAUUUGAGUAAUCUUAAGUUAGGCAUCCGUGAGAAGUUUGCAGGAUUCAAUCGUGUCUUUCCAAGUUUAGACAUAUCCAAGAAUAUCCCUUCGACUGCCUUGUUCACCUAACACAGAGAAUAAAAAACUGUGAAUAUAUAUAGGAUAAAAGAAUUAAUGAAUCCCACUUCACAUACAUCUCAUUAAAAGUACGAUAAAAGUAAUAUCUAGAAAAAUGAUCUUAUAAAAGGGGGAAAAACUAUCAGCUUGUCUUGUAUAAUUACAGACUACAGAAUAGGUAUUUUAUGUCUUACCUUUUUAGUUGUCAAGAUAUCACAAAUUUCUGUGAAAUUCCAUAAUCUGCUACCUGUAUGCCGAGCAAUAUGUUGACCCAUUUCUUGUAUCAAAUCAUGCAUUUCUAACUUAUUAUUCACAAUAAUUAUGAGGCACUUUUCCACUAAACGAAUUAUUCCCAAACUUGGAGAAAGAUCACAUCCAUCUAGUAGAUCUUCUACCCAAUCUUUAUCAUAGCCUUUGAAAAAGCAAGCAACAUCAAGAAAUAUAGCCUUUUCUGUCUGUUCUAGAGUUUCAUAACUUAUUUGUAAUAUUUUCUGAAUUUUGGAGUGAGGGAAUUUUUUUAGGUUUUUCACUACACUUUCCCAUUCCUCUGGAGAUCUUUUGUAUAGAUGUGAACCCAAAACUUUAAGGGCUAAUGGAACACCUUUAGCAUAGUUUACCACCAUUUUUGCCAACUGUAUAAGCUCCUUUGGAGGAUGCUCUUGUUUAAAGGCUUUCACACUCAACAACUGAAGAGCAUCCCAAUAAUUUAAUCCCUCAACCUUAUAUAUUUGAUCAACUCCACCAAGAAGUACUUUUUUGUCUCUGCUUGUGACUAGAACUCUACUUCCUGAACCAAACCAACCAUGAUCUCCAGCUAAAGCCUCUAAAUGCUCUGAAUCACUGACAUCAUCUAGAAUAAUGAAAACUUUUUUUCUUCUAAGUGUAUCCAGAACAAUAGUGGGAAGUACAUGGAGCAUUUGUAUGCUCAAAUCUUCAUCCCCUACAAGUUUGGAAAAAAUAUUUUUACGUAAAUGCAAUAACUCAUGCUUUUCUGCAUUUUCCCUAAUGCUGCUUUGAAAGUAGCAAGCAUCAAAUUGAUCAGAUAUUCGACUAAAAAGAGCUUCAGCAAUGGUAGUCUUUCCUAUGCCAGGCAUUCCCCAAAUUCCGAUAAAACGAACAUCUGCCUUCUCAAUACAUAAUAAUGACUCAAUUAAGUUGAUGUGAGCAUCAAUCCCAACUAAAUCAUCACAAGCACUAAAGGACACGGGAUACAGUUUCUUCGUGAUUUGGUUGACAACUUUGUCAAUUAAUUUCGAUUCAGACCUGGCAAAACGUGAUAAACAAAGCAAUUUAAUAUUUGAAAUUUUUGUUUUUCUAAAGGCAAUUAGAACAAAUAAAGUAAAUUGGAUUCUACCAAAUCAGUUGUCUGAUUUUGUUUCUGAUUUAACCAAUCCAACUAGCUCAGUUUAGUCCACAUCUGAAAACACUAACCUGUAGUUGCAAGAAUCCCAUCCAGAUAGAUUGGCUGCAUCGAUCAAAGCAGUACUCCAAUUUCCCACAAUGUCUAAGCUGUGGUCAACUUUUUCUUUUACUUUCUCAAAGGCUUCUCCAAAUUUUCCAGUCUGUUUUCUAACAUCAGAAGGAUCUACAUGGUAGAAAAUGGGUAAAACUGUUCGCCCCAUUGUUUUCUUGCAGUUAAUUAUCUUCACCAGUUCAUCUAGGCACCACCUAGAGGACGCAUAAUUUUCUGAGAAAAUUACAACUGAAAUCUUGGAUUCUUCAAUAGCUUUCAAAAGCGUCGGCGAGAUGCUUACUCCUCUCUCAAGAUUAUCGUCUAUGAAUGUUGUAAUAUGUUUACGGCACAAAGCAGCAUGAAGAUGACUAGUAAAAUUUGGACGAGUAUCAAUACCUCUAAAACUAAGGAAAACAUCAUAACUAAUAGAGGAGAAGGCUAAAGCUGAAGAAGAAACCAUUUUGACAAGUACAAAAGCUGCUGCUGUGGUUUGUUUGGUAGGAAAGAAAAUAGAGGAAUUGCAGAGGAAAAGAAAGCUCAGUAAGCAUGCUAAACUUGGGCGGUAAUUUUAUAUUUGAUGCAGAAUCAAACCAAUUUCCAGAUUUUGGAUAUUGGAGGAAGUUUCAAUGUCAUCUCUUUGGAUAAUUAAUUAAACAUUUUCUUUUACACAUUCAUCCUUUUUUCUAAAAAAUCUGUUUGGAAAUGGAAACGUCGCGGAAUGAACCUUGAACUGAUUAUAAAUAUUAGUCACUGGCUCUCAUAAAUUUAGUCCCCCCUAUUUUUAUAAAUGUGAUAAUAGAAUAAUUUUUUUAUUAACUUUCUAAAAAUAUUUAUUUUAAAAAUAAAAUAGUAAUAAUUAAUUUUAUUUAAAAAAAUAAAUAAUAAUUUUAAAAUAAUAAAAAAAUAAAAAAAACAAAAAUUAUAAAAUAGCGUAAUUAUUUUUUAAAUGGUCACUCUUAUUCAAUAUGUGAAAAUUUACUAAACAGAACAUAUGCUUUCCUUUUUUUUCUUUUUCUUAUUUGUUGGCUGUCCACCUUCUUUGUCACCAUAAUGAGUGGCCAUCCUUCACAUCUUCUGGACUGAAGACGUCUUUUUUUUUUUUUUAAAGAGUGAAUUUAUUCCCUUACAUUUCUAAAUAGAAUUAUGUAUGUAAAAAAAUAAGAAUUUGGAUUGUAUUUUCUUUUAUAAAUAUACUUUUAAUAGAGAAAAAAUAUUUUGAAUUUAUAAAUUUUUUUGAAAAAUUUACUAUUUAAUAUUUAAAUAUUAUUAUUAUUAAUAAAUUAAUUUUUAUAAUUUUAAAAAUAUUUUUAUUUUUUGCUUUCGUCAAUAAUUUUUUAUUUUUUUUUAAAAUAUAAAAAUAUAUGAGUGAUGAAGGAGAAAAUUUUUAAAAUUUUAUUUUAUUUUUAAAUAAAAUUUUUUAUUUAAUGUGAGUAUUAUCUUUAUUAAUAAGUCGGUCAUUAUUAUUAUUAAUAAAUUAAUUUUUAUAUUUUUAAAAAUAUUUUUAAUUUUUUUUUAGUUAAUAAAAUAAUUUUUUUAUGUUUUUUUUUAAAAUAUAUGAGUGAUGAAAGAGAAAAUUUUUAAAAUUUUAUUUUAUUUUUAAAUAAAAUUUUUUAUUUAGUGUAUAAAUAUUAUUAUUAUUAAUAAAUUAGUUAUUAUAUUUUUAAAUAUUUAUUAAAAUAUUUUUAUUUUUUCUUAAAUUUAUUAAAAUAUCUUUAUUAUAUCUUUUCAUUAAUGAAAUACUCUUUCAUUCUUUUUUUCUUUUUAAAAAAAGAAAAAUGAUGAUGAUGAAAAAACAAGAAGGAAAGAAAAAUGAUAAUAAUGAAUAAGAAAAAAAAUUAUUUCUUUAUUUAAAAAAAAAGGACGGAGGAAGCAAAAAAACGGAGAAAGAGAAGAGAUAGAAUAAUUUAAUUUUUUAUUAUAUUUUUAAUGUUAUAAAUAGAUGAAAGAAUUAUUUUAAUAAAUUUUUAAAUGUAUAAAAAUUAACUCGUUAACAAAAUAAUAUUCAGAAAUUAAAUUAUAAAUUUUUUUUAUUUUUUAUUUAUUAAUAAAUUUAUAGUUGUAUUUAUUAAUAUUUGUAAAUAUUUAAAAGUAUCGUGGAUUUUAUAUUUUUUUUUUAGUUUUAAAUCUAGGAGAGAAGUCGUGGUAACUUGUGGAGCACGAACUUCAAAAAUGCAUGUAAUCAUUAAAGAACGCGCUUUCUCUCCUGCCAGUUGUUGAAUGAAAGCUUCCCUUGGAAAGAACUUUAUAUAGCAGUUGAGACGAAAUUCUUCUCUAUGACUUUUUUUUCUUCAUGUCGGCUCCUAAUUUAGGGUGCAUGUGGGUCUCCUGCCUCAAGCUAGCCCUCCCUCCUUAUUUCUGUAAUUUUUAUGCACAGUUUUAUCUUAGAGUUGCUAAGAUCUUUUCAGCCAAUUAUUUAAGGAAUAACCUCACCCAGGGUUGUUAAGCAUUCUAGAAGCAAGGACUAAUUUUUUAAAUUAAAAUUUUUAUAUUAAUAAAUUAUUUAAAAUUAUAAAAUAUAAUAAUAAAUUAAAUAUACUAUAAAUAAUAAUUAAAUUAGUUAUAAUAUUUAUUAUUAUAUAAUAAAAAAUUAUGUAUAUACAUAAUAAAUAAAUUUUAAAUAGUUUGUAUGUUAUUUAAUAAAAGAGAUAUUUAUAAUUUAGUCUGGAUAUUAUUAUUAUUAACAAGUCAAUUUUUAUAUUUUUAAAAACUUAUUAAAACGUCUUUAUAUUUUUAUUUUGAUCGACGAAAUAGUAUUUUCGUUCUCUUUUCCGUUAAAAUUAGAUAAAUGAGAUAGGAGUGAGCAUUCGGUCGGUUUGGUUCAAAAUCAAAUCAAACUGAAUAAACUGAAAAUCAUAAUUUCAAUAUUUAUGAAAAUUGAAUCGAAUUGAUUUUGGUCAAAACCGAAUCGAACUAAACCGAUCUGAUUCGGUUUGAUCGAUUUCGAUUUUUAAUAAAUUUUUUAUUUUUUACACUUUAUUUUUAAUAUUUUAAAAUUUAAUUAAAAUAUUUUAAUCUUAAUAUUAUUUAAUUUCUCUAUAUUAUUGAAAAUAACAUAUUAUUAUCACUAAUCGGUUUGGUUCGAUUUUUUCGAUUUUUUUUUAUCAAAACCAAAUCGAACUGAAAUAACUAAAAUUUCUAAAUUAAAAACUGAACCGAAUCGAAUUGAAUAAAAAAUCAAACUGAAUUUUCAAAUUAAUUCGAUUCGGUCGAUUUUUUCGAUUUGAACUGAAUACCGCUCACCCCUAAAAGGAGGAGAGAGAAAAUUUUUAAAAUUCAAUUUUACCCUCAAAUAAAACUCCUUAUUUAAUUCUUGUAUAUUGCUAUUAUUAACAAGUCAGUCUCUAUAUUUUUAAAAAUCUAUUAAAACGUUUUUUUUUUCAUAUCUAUUAAAACGUUCUUAUCAUUUCUUUUCGUCAAUAAAAUAGUUCAUAUAUUUUCUCAUAUCUAUUAAAAUGUCCUUAUCGUUUCUUUCCGUCAACGAAAUAGUCUCUCCUCAUCGUUUCUUUUCAUCAACAAAAUCGUCCCUCCCUAUAUUUUCAGAAAUCUAUUAAAACGUCCUUAUCUUUUCUAAUAUCUAUUAAAAUUUCCUUAUCGUUUUUUUUUCAACAAAAUAGUCCCUAUCUUUUCUCAUAUCUAUUAAAACGUUUUUAUCGUUUCUUUCCAUUAACGAAAUAGUUCAUAUCUUUUCUCACAUCUAUUAAAAUGUCUUUAUCGUUUCUUUCCAUCAACGAAAUAGUCUCUCCUCCUCCUCCUCUUCAAAGAAAAAAAAGAAGAUGAUGAUGAAAGAGAAGAAGAAGAAGAAGCAGAAAAAAAAGAAGAAGAAGCAGAAAAAGAAGAAGAAGAAGUAGAAGCAGAAGAAGCCAAAGCAGAGAAGAAGCAGAAUUGAUGAAGAAGAAAAGGAAGGAGGAGGAGGAGGAAAAUAAGGGGGUAAUUUAGUUUUUUACUAUAUUUUUAACGGUAAAAAUAGACGGAAGGACUAUUUCGUUGACGGAGAGAAAAUAUAAAGACGUUUUAAUAGAUUUCUAAAAAUACAGGAACUGACUUGUUAAUAAUGACAAUACUCAUGUACUAAAUUGUAAAUUUUCCUUUAAUAAAUUAAUAUUUUUAUAUUUAUUUUAUUAAUAUAAUAAAUUGAUAUAUAUUUUUAUUAAUCAUUUUUAUAUAUUAAUUAUAAUCGUUAAACAUAACUUAUUAAACAUUUAAAAUAUAUAAACUAUUUAUUACAGUGAAUUAUUCAUUAUUAAUAUAACAGUUAAAUCAAAUGGUUUUCGAUCGUAGCUAGCAAGUAGAAAAGGAGAUAGGUUAAGGAAAGUCUUAGGUUAGAAAGCAAAUCUUGCUUAAAGUGGACGUUUCAAUGGAAUCCCUUUAGGCAAUUACAACAAAACCACCACUUUAAGCAAAUCUUUGGCCUCUCCCCCAUGGAAUGGAGCGAAGCAUUUUCCAAUUUUAAGUGAUACUCUUCUUUCUCCUUUUUAAAAUUUUCUUUUUUCUUAAAAAAAAACUCGUAUAUGGACCUCUUGUAAAAUUUAUUAUUUAAUUUUUAUAUAAUAAGAAAAUUCAUUAAUUAAUUUUUUAAUUUAAAAAAAUAUAAUAAAAUAUUUUUAAUAUUUUAAAAAAUAUACUAAUUAAUUCAUUCGUUAAAUAUUUUAUUGUAUAAUCUUUAUAAUUUAAAAAACUCAUUAAUUGGUCAUUCCAUUUUGUCAACAGUUUACUAAUUAUUUUUUCUGUAUAGAUGAUAUUUUAAAUUUUUUUGAAAUAUUAACCGAUAAAAUUAAUAGAUAAAUUAAUUAGUAUAUAUUUUAUAAAAUGAUAAGUGUAUUUUAAUAUUUUUUUUAAAAAAAUUAAGAGAUUAUAAGUUUUUUCAUAGAGACUUAAUAUUAAUUUUUUAAAAAAAAUGUAUUUUAAUUUUAAUAUUGUUAUAUAUACCUUAAUGAUAUGUUUAAAAUAAAAAAAUAUUUAUUGAGUAUAAGAAUUAUGUUUUAAUUAGAAUUUAAAAUCACUUAAAGAAUAUUUGAUUAAUGAAUUUUCAAAUUUAGAUUUCUUCAAGUAAAGUGUGAAUUCCUUCUAGAUUACUUUAAGAAAUUAAUUUUUAAUAACAAUCGUUGACGUGAUGGAGACUUUUUCUCUGGAGCAGCCGUCGAAAGAAGAGAAAGUUGAUCUUGCCCACAGUGCUAAGAAGGUCAAGCUAUGCGAUGGCAUGGCGGAGGAAGCAGUGGCGCCUCCUCUUGAGAAUGGUUCUAAGUCGGGGAUGGCAGUCGAAGGGAGGUGCAAAUCAUCUUUUAAGGAUGUCUUGCAAAGUGAUUCUGUGCUGUGGGAUUCGAGAGAUGGUUCGACUAAUCUGUCUGAUGAUGACUCCGAUUGUGAGAGUGAUGGCUGAUGACGAUUGCCCCAUCAUAAGGGUCUCUAAACCUGAGAAAUGUCUGUUGCGGCAGUCGUGGCAAUCCACCCUCAUUAUCAAGUUGCUCAGUCGUUCUAUUGGGUUCAGCUACCUUCAAAAGAGAUUAUUGAAACUAUAGGCUCUUAAAUCACCAUUUGACUUGAUUGAUCUUGUGAAUGGUUUCUUUAUGAUACGAUUUACUAAGGAAUCUGAGUAUGAAUAGGUGCUUUCGAUGGCCCUUGGAUAAUUGAAGAUCAUUAUCUUACUGUUUGAUAAUGUCAGCCCAAUUUUGGCCCUAAAUCUACAGCGAUUGAUAGGGCAUUGGUGUGGAUUCGCUUAUCUAAUCUCUUGAUUGAAUAUUAUGAUAAAGGAUUUCUUUUGCGAAUGGGUAGUAGGAUUGGAUGCCUAGUCAAGGUUGAUGAGGUCAUAUUACAAGUUGCUCGCAGGAAGUACGCAUGCAUUUAUAUGGAAGUCGACUUCUCAAAACCAUCAUUGUCUAAGUUUUGCUUGCGUAAGCGAGUUAGGUGUAUUGAAUAUGAGGGGAUCCAUUUAGUCUAUUUUGGUUGUGGUUGUUACGGCCACAUAAUGGAUAAUUGCCUUGCUAAGGAAGUGCCGGUUAGGGAGGCUUUUCUAGUUCCUUUCUAGGGGUUGCUCCUAUGGAUAUGUGUGAGGAAUCAUUGUGCCAUCCAUCAGAGUUAAAUAAAGAGCAGACUACUGGUAUAGUUUCUUCUGGUGAGAGUGGUUGGGCAGAAGUGGUUGAUAGAUUUGGCCCUUGGAUGCUGGCCAAGAAAUCACCCUACAAUUUUCCUCAUUUUGCUGGCGCUCCAUCGGCUGCGAAAUCGGUUGAUUUGGCUGUUUCAAGUAAUCAUGGUCGGACUAGCUCCUCUUUUUGACAGGUUCAUACUGUUAAUCAUUUUGAUAUUUUAAAUAAUGUCCUAGUGUAUGAUGCUAGUAAUAAUAACGUUGUCUGUAUGUCUAUUCCUUUAAGUUCUCCAUCAAUGAACUCCCUUCAAUCCAAAGCUCGAGCUGGUACUCGCUCUUCCAUCCCUAUUGGGCAUCGAUAGGAAUCUACUACUCCUGAGACUAGGCUAGUUUCAUCUGUUCAUAGGACUCCUUCUGUGCUAGCUACCCCUACUAUUGGGUCUGCUGAUACUGGAAGUACUUCUUCCUGCUCUCAUCAUAGAGCUAAAAAGUCCAUCUCCGCAGUCGAACUUGAUGAUCAUGUGGUGGUAAUUGGUAAGGCUAGCAUUAGUAUAGUUGAUUGCUGCAAAGUGUCUAACAAUUCUCUGAUUAAUGAUCCGAGAGAUGGUAUCUCACCGUCUCAUGAUCCAAGGAUCUUACGGAAUAUUUUGAAUGCUCUUAUUAUUAAUGUGGGUGCUUCUCAUCAGAUUUGUGACUCUGGUUUGAUGGAUGCUUAUGAUGUUACUAUAGAAAGGGGCCUCGGACCUGGUUCUCUUUGAUCUUUGAGUGUAAUAUUUAGCUUGUCUUAGUAUAGUGGUUGUGUUUUCUCCCUUGUUGCUUAGUAUUAUAUCUACUUUAGCUUGGAAUGUAUAUGGUAUUGUGGGCAAGAUAAGCCAAUGUAUGCUUUAUGAUUUUUGUGCUCGUUUUCAACCUUCCAUUCUAAUUUUGGUGGAGACUCGGGUUAGUGGCUUCCAAGCUAAUAUGAUUUGUCUUAAGAUGGGUUUUGAUCAUUGGUUUAGGUGGAGACAAUUGGUCUUAGUGGUGGCAUUUGGAUUUUUUAGAAUAGCUUGGUGGGUUUGGUUUCUCUCCUAUCCACUCAUCCGCAGUUUAUGCAUUGCCAGGUCAAUAAUCUGGAUAGUGUUUCUUGGUAUUUUAUAGCUAUAUAGGUAGUCCAAAGGCUCAUUUACAGCAUAAACUUUUCUUGGGUUUGUUCUCCUUGCAAAUCUCUUUUGAUACUCCUUGGCUUUUAUUAGGUGAUUUUAAUUGUGUAAUAACAUUGGAUGAAACUACUAAUGUGUGCUCUGAUACUACUACUAAAUGCAAUAGCUUUCAUGACUGGGUAAAUGUACAUGGGUUGCUAGACUUGGGCUUUGCUAGGUGCAAGUUCACAUGGUGUCAUGGAUGCUCUAUCGAUAUGAUUCAUGUUGUGCGGUUAGAUGGGGGUCUGCGUAAUGCUACUUGGCAUAUCCUUUUUUCAUAGGCUAGCAUUAAACACUUGGAAAGAGCUACCUCUAAUCAUUUCCCCCUCUUACUUACAUUGAGUGACUCUCAAAUGGCAUAUAACAGUGGAAAGUUUCAUUUUCAGGCUGCUUGGCUUAAACAUCCGGGAUUUUUGUCUUGUGUCUCUCAAGCUUGGCCCCCUUAUGGAUCGAUUAUUAACCAUCUUCAGUCUUUCGAUGGUAGUUUAAGUUCAUGGAAGCGAUAAUUUUUUCGAAAUAUUUAUAUUCAGAAGAGAAGGUUAUUGGCUCCUAUCAAUGGCAUUCAGCUAUUGGCUCCUUUAGCCAUUCUCAUGUGGGCUUACUUCAGCUGAAAUAGAAGCUGCUAAAAGAUCUUGAUGCAGUUUUGGACUAGGAGGAAAUUCUAUAGUUCUAGAAAUCUAAAGAAUAGUGGAUUGUAGAUGGUGACCGCAAUACCAAAUACUAUCAUGCUUAUGCAGUACUCAAGAGUGGUAAAAGCAUCAUUUAGGGCCUUAAAGAUGCCAAUAGGGUUUGGUGUUAGGAUUAGGCUGAAUUGUCGCGUAUGGCUUUCUCUUUCUAUAAACUGUUUUAUAUUGAUGAGUCGGUUGAUGUCUCCUCUAUCAACUCGAUCAAUCUUUUCACCUCCAUGAAGGUGGAACAUAGUUAUAUGUUGGCCUCUCCUUUUUCAGUCAAACAAGUUAAAUAUGCUUUUUUUGGCAUGGAUCCUUUUAAAACUCCCAACCUUGAUGGAUUCCCGGCAUGCUUUUAUCAAAAAGCUUGGAAAGUGGUUGGUCGUUCAAUAGUAGCAAUGGUCCUGGAUGUCCUUUAGGGUGGCCCUAUUCCUAGUGAUAUCUAUGAGAUCCUGAUUACUUUAAUUCCCAAAGUUCAAGGUCUAGAUUCUAUUUCUCAAUUUCGACCGAUAAGCCUGUGUAAUAUUACCUAUAGGGCCAUAAAAAAGGUCAUUGUGAAUCGUAUGAAAAGGGUUAUGCCUUCUCUCAUUUCUCCUACCUAGUGUAGUUUCAUCCCCAGUAGACAGCUUCAUGAUAAUGUCAUCAUUCUCCAAGAGGUGGUUCAUUCCAGGUAGAGACGUUUGAGUGGUGAUGGUUGGAUGAGUUUACAGAUUGGUUUAGAGAAAGCUUACAUUAGGGUUAGGUGGGACUUUGUUCUAGACUCUUUGCGACUGGCAGGUUUCCCGAGCAAUUAGGUGACGAUUAUUUCUAAUUGCAUGUGCUCUUGCUCUAUGCAUGUCUUAUAGAAUAAUCAGCCUUCCCUUCGAUUUCAAUCCUCAAGAGGUGUUCGUCAGGGGGAUCCACUCUCACCAUAUUUGUUUGCUUAGCCAUGGAAAGGUUAGAUCAUCUCAUUACUCAAUUGGUUGCAAAUGGCAGUUGGGUUCCUAUUCAAUUGUCUCGCCGUUGUCCUCCCCUGUCUCAUCUUUUCUUUGUUGAUGAUCUCCUGUUAUUUGCUAAGGCCUCUAUUGAGCAUAUUACUAUGGUUAAAAAAUGUCUUGACGAGUUUUGUGCUGGCUUUGGCAAAGGGUUAACUAUUCAAAGUCUAAGAUCUUCUUUUCACCGAAUGCAGCUACUCAGUUACAACAGCUAAUUUCUGAUGUUGCAGGGAUUUCUAUCACUACUGAUCUUGGGAAGUACCUAGGCAUUCCAAUUAUCCAUGGACAUAUACAUAAGCAUAUGUUUGCACCGCUAUUCCAGAGAAUGGAUGCUACUUUAUCAGGUUGGAAAACUCCUAUGAUCUCUCUCUCGGGCAAAAUUACUCUGGCUAAAUCUAUUCUCAAUGCUUUACCUAAUCAUAUUAUGUAGUCCUUCUGUCUCCCUCGAGCAGUUUCUAAUCUUCUUAAUAAGAAAAUUCGUGAUUUUAUUUGGAGUGAUCAAGCUGGUAAAAGGCAUGUCCAUGCAGUAAAUUGGGACAUCAUUACAUUGCCUAUUGAUCGCGGAGGCUUGGCCAUUCAUAGUUGUUGGGAGAUGAAUACUGCUUUUCUUACUAAACUGGGCUAGCAUCUUCUUUAUAAUGACAACAGUCUCUAGAGUCUCAUUUUACGAGGUAAAUAUGGGGUGACUUAUUGGAGUGCAGAUGCUUUUCCCUACUAAGAACAUGUAACAGCCCGGAAACCGGUACCCCUCUUGUAACGGCCCGAACCGCUUGGCGCUAGAAUUCAGAUCGGCUUAAGGCCGCCGGAACCCGUAGCAAGCCUGCUAGACAUCCUGAACAACUGGUAUAAUCCCAUACAUGAUCACACUUUUGCAUAAAACUUAAAGCUGUCCAUAUCCCAGGCUUACCCUGAGUAUGGUCUGAAACUGAAAACUGUUCUUACUUUUACUACCAAGCUUAACUUUGUGCAUGCACUUCCACUUCACUCAUUCCCCACUCUGGAGUCCAUACCAGCUACCCCAAUGGAGAAACAUUAAGCUUGGCUAUCCUGAAAACAUUCUGAAAACAUUUCAUACAAUAUGAAAACGUUUAUAAAGCAUAUCUUUGUCAUUCAAACGAUCAUGCACAACCAAGAGAUUAACCAACACAACUAAAGGGAUUAACCAACCCAAACUAGGCAAAGCACAACACUACACCACAAAGCAUGGACUUUUCUUAAUUUGGCUCUAUCUCUUUACAUCAAGCUCAUUACUCUUUCCAUUCCUUCAUAUCCUUUAUAUACAUAAGGACCAUACAUCAAGUCCAUCUAUCAUGUCCAUGCAUCAUGUCCAUGACUAUACUAUACAAGCAUACAAACAUUACAAGCAUAUAAACAUUACAUCUCUUUAACUUACACAACAUUCUUUCCCUUUACACAAAACUAAGCUAUGCUAUUACAUCAAGACAUGGCAACCCAUGUUAGGCUCUUCUUGCCCAUAGCUUACUCUCUGACUAACCUCUGGCUGACUGACUCUGGCCCUGCAAAACUGGGGUGAGAGGGAGGGGUGAGCUACAAGAGCCUAGUGAGUAGAAACUAUAAAACAGUUCAUAGUUCAUUCUUUCAUUCAUUCAUGCUUUUAUGGAUUGUGUCACAGCACAAACAUAUCACAUCUCGGAUUAGACAUGAUCCCAGGACUCCCUCUGCCGAUGCCCGGCCCCUAAAGGAGCUCUCAAAAGCACUACAUGCUCUAGUGCCCGGCCCCCUUCUAUGGAGCACUCACAGGUCUUAUCUAGGCAUAGCAGGUCGCGGGCUACUGAGAUCGCCUUGGUCUAUCCCAUCAACAAUAGGUAAUGCAAUGCAAUGCACAUAAUCGUGAUCUCUAAUGCAAUACAAUCUAGUAUCACAUGGCAUCCAUGAUGCGUGUCUCAUGCUCAUACUGUCAUAAUCUUUAAAAACAUUUAUUUUAAAACAUGCAUAGUUAGUUCUACUCACCUGAAGCCACUGCUCAACAGACUCUGGGCCAACUAGCAUUGCAGCUAGACACCUCGAUGUCUCAGGUCCGAUCCUACACAGAUGGACUCACAUGAGGUACCAAACAUACUCUAGCAUAGCUCUAAAACAUCUCCCCAAAAACCCCCUAAAAACUCAUAAACAAUCACACAAAGCAUGCAAAAGAGGGCUGGACAGAACACUUUCGGCGGCAGGUUCGGCGGCCGAAUGUCCUCUCCAGAGACGAAACUCAAGCACCUUCGGCGGCCGAAACUCUUCUUUCGGCGGCCGAACCCUUUCGGGGGCAAGGUUCGGGGGCCAAAACACACUCCAGAGACGAAAGUCUCUAACCUUCGGCGGCACCUUCGGCGGCCGAAUCCCCCAAACAGAGCCGAACCUCAAAACUCUCGGGGGUGAGCUGUGGCAGCCUAAGCCACCUCUCAAGGGGUUCGGCGGCCGAACACACCUUCGGCUGCCGAACCUGAGUUCAUCCAGAACUCAGCUUCACCAGCAACCAGCUCCUCACUCCUUUCCAACUCUCAAAACAUGCAUACCUCAACUCCUCAACAUACAUAUACCAAAGUAUAUGCACAAAGGGGUCCAAAACUACCUGAAACCCCAACAACAACAACACACAUACACAUAUAGCAACAUAGGCAUAAAGGGUCCCUAAACCCUCUCAUGCACAACCAUGCAACCUCAGCAACUAAACCCCCCAAAACACUUCACAAAACAUGCUUAAAACACUAUAAAACAUAAGGAUCAUCACUUACCUCUUGAAGAACAAAGGCUGAUGUGAUCCUAACUUCAAAAACCUUGGAGAACCAAGCUCUACAAGCUCCAAACUCCAAAACUAGCUUACUUUGCUCAAACCUUGAACAACAAGCUAAAACUCAUUAAAAAUCCAUGAAAGAUCUUGCAACACCAUGAAAACACAUCAAGGAGGACAUGAGCUCACCUUGGGUGGGAAGAGGAAGAAAACUCCCCUCUUGAACCGACCUAAGGGGCUUUAUAGGUGGCUUGGUCAACUACCUUCGGCAGCCUAACACGCCCCCUAAACUCAUGCAUGUUCGGCGGCCGAACUUCACCUUCGGCGGCCGAACCUUGGUUCGCUCAAGCAAAGCUUUCAGAGGCCAAAAGCACUCCCGAAGCCUUCCCAUGUUCGGCGGCCGAACUUGCCUUCGGCGGCCGAAGCUGCAAACUCCUCCUUGGCCUUUUUCUCUUCAAAACUCUUUUCCUUUCCUUUUCAAAACCAUAAAACCUUUUAAAACAUUUUAGAAAACCUUUUAGAAAACCUUGCUACACCCCUCAAAAGGAUCCGACAUCCGAGAUUCCACCGGACGGUAGGAAUUCCGAUGCCUGAACGAGCGGGGUCUUACAGAACAAUUCGUCUAUUAUUUGGCGUAGCCUUGUUCACAGUGCUCCUUUGCUUUGAAAAGGCAUUUCCCUUUCUGUUUAGGUGUGCCGACUAGUUUUUGGAAUGAUUAUUGGGUUGGUCAUACUCCUUUGUUGUCCUUGACUAUUAAUCGUGUUUCCGAGUCCUUCCAAUCUCUCAAUGUUGCGCAGUUGAGGUCUUUGGGAGAUUGGGCAUAAGACUUAAUAUGAUCUUACCUUCAUAAGGAUGCAUGCCUUCUAUUAUAACCUAUUUCAAUUGUUCAAGUUGUUAGAGCUUGUGAUGAGGUCUCCUGACGGUUCACAUCUUCAAGUGCAUUUUCAGUUAACUCUGUAUAUGGGUUCAUAGACAGAUUUGAUAGCUGGCCUAUGGAUGCUAUGUGAAAAUUGCUUUGGAAGAUCAAGGUUCCCCAACGAUGUCGCAUGUUCUACUGGUUGGUUGCUCAUGGAAAAAUUAUGACUAAUGCUAAAAUAUUUAAACGUGGAUUUACUAAUAACACAACUUGUGCUAUUUGUGGCCAUAGAGAGAAAACAAUUCUUCAUGUGUUACGAGAUUGCCCUACUGUCCGACAUAUUUGGAAUCAAAUUUGGGACUUCGAUACAUGUGAAACCUUUUUCAAUUUGACUAUGGUUGAUUGGCUACGCUAUGGUGUUGGUUUUACAUCUUCUUUAACAGUUGUUUGUCAACCUCUUGAGAUUUUAUUUAUUGUAAUGUGGUGGAUUUGGAAAUGAGAAAAUAUUGUGGUGUUUCAACAAGUUCCUGAUGUCUACAAUUUGAUGGAAAAUUACGAUCUUUAUUAUAUUCUCUAUAUUGUAAUAUAGAUGUUUGGUCGCAUCGAUCUUUCUCUUUUUGUAAGCAAGGACAUACUAUUAUUUCUGUAUUUUGACAACCUCUUAAUGAUGAGUGGGUUAAACUUAAUUACGAUGGGGCGAGUAAAGGGAAUUUGUAAUCAAAUGGGGGCUGGGUUGUGGGCUAUUAUAUUCGAUUGGAUGUAUGCAGUGCUAUUGUGGGAGUUAUAGAACCUUAUCUAUGGUUUAUCUUGUGCGUAGGAGCAGGAUUUUCGUUAGGCAAAAGUGAACAUAUAUUCUGAGUUGGUUUUAUAUUUAUUGUUUUAGGAGGUGAUAUUGAGAUAUCGAUUGAAGGAAUUAUUUUUGCAGUGUAAAUCUCUUCUAUCUAGAUCAUGACAUGUUCGGUUACUCCAUUAUUAUAGAAAAACAAAUCGUGUGAUGGAUUAUCUUACAAAUUUUGCUAUCUCUGCAAAUGCAGGCCACCAUAUUCUGAACUCCCCUUUAAAGGAGACUCUUAAUUUCUUAUGCUGAGAUAGAGAAUGGAUAAAUUAGCCUAGAGUGUUAACCUUAGUUAAUAAUUUCUUUUCUCCCUCCUAUGUAUAAAAAAAAAAAUUAGAAUUUAAAAUAGUGCUCACAUGCUAUAAAGAAAAAAAAAACAUAAUAGUUUUAUUUCAUAACUUUAAUGUUCUAGGACACACAGGUUCCAUGGGAUUACUUAUGUUUUAUUUAUAUAGAUUUUAUUUAUCUUUUAAUUAUACAGAUUUAUUUUAUUUUAUGAAAAGUAUUUUUAAAAAAUAUAUUUUUUUUAUUUUUUUAGAUUUAGAAUUAUAAAUUUCGAUUAAUAAAAAAAUAUGUUUUCAAUCAAGAAGUGAAUUAAUUUAAUUUUAAGUAAAAUAAAUUUCUCUUACAUAUAAAAAAUCAUUUUUUAGACUUUUAAACCUUCUACGCAUAAGUUUAUUAAUAUCUUUUUUUAAUUUUUUACAACAUGUCUUACACAUUUAUUUAACUCUUGUUUAGAUUAUGAUUUUUCAUAUAUUUUUUUAUUAAUUUUUAUAUAAUUAUAUUAUUAUUAUUAUUAUCAAUCAAAUUUAAUCUUAUUAUUAUAAUAAAAUUAUAAAUAUAAUUUAUUCUUAAUUAAAAUUUAUUACAUUAAACUUUUAUUUUUUUCAUUUGAUAAAAAUAAUUAUUUUUUUAACUAAUCACAAUUAAAUUCAUUUUAUUAUAUUAAAUUUAUUCGAAACUAAUUUUAAAAUUUCAUUAAAAUUUCAAAAUCAAUCAAAUUAAUAAUAAAUUUAAUAUAAUAAAUUCUUGGUUCCAUUCCAAUAGAUUUAAUUGUCAAAUAGUUAAAUAAUUAAAAUAAAAAAAUUAAACUGUCAAAGUUAAUUAAAUCAUCGUGCAAAUAAUUAAGUGAUUUAAAAUUAAAACAAAUUAAAUACACUUUAAAACUUAAUUAAUAGGAAUAGGAUGUGAAAUCAGUCGGUUGGAUUUUAAAUCGAAUUAAAUUGAAAAAAUUAAAAAUUAAAUUUUAAAAAUAUUAGAAAUCAAACUAAAUCGAUUAUUAAAAUAUAACCGAAUAUAAUCAAACCGAUAAAAAUUAAUUCAGUUCAAAUAUAUCAAAAUCGAAAUUUAUAAAUUUUACACGUUUGAACUUGAACUGCUGAUUGAAUUGAGUAAGAGUGAGGAGAAACACGUUAGAUUUAGACUGCUGGUUGGAUUAGAUAAAGAUUAGUAUAUAAUAUAUAAUAAAAUCGGUUAAUUCAGUUUAUCAGUUAUUUAACAUUUAAACCAAAUCGAAUCAAAUUAAAAAUUAAAUAAUCUAAAAAAUAUUAAUAUAAUCAAUCUAAAUAUUUUAACUAAUCGAACUAUUGAUUCAAAAUCAAUCGAUCUAGUUAAUUUCUCUAUUUGAAUGGAGAUAUACCCUCCCCUGAAUGAAAUUUAAAGCCACUCUAACAUUAUUGUAAAUAAGUAAAAAUCAAUUAGCAUAGAAGUUGACAACCCACUUUACGAUUCUCCUGUUCCAAAAAUUUGAUGGAUUUUUUUUCUAAGUCAUCCUGUAAGCCUCUGAGAAAAGGAGCCGAAAAAUUAAAGCAGCAGAAGCGUCGGUGGUGCACUUUGCGAAAAGGAAAGCGAUUAAGUUGCGAAAUUAACGGCCAUGGCUGCAUCAAAUUGAAAAAAGCAAACAGAUUUCUUUGGAAUUUCCUGGAAAGCUACAGAGGAAUAACGAAGAUGAAGCUGGGAUUCAUAUACUAGAAUAAUACCCGUGGUUAAUUAAAUAAGAUAAUUAUAUAUUUUAUUUUUAAUUUAUUGUGAAUAAUUUUUUUUUUAUUAAUAUAUUCCUGGUGAAUGAUAACUUAGAAACGCGUUUCUUUUUACUCAUAUUAUUCAUUCUGAUAUGUUUGUCAGUUUCGGUCCUUGCAUAUAUUUAACUAUUAUAAUAAUUAAAUAUAAAUUAAUCACAUUAUUAAAAAAAAUAAUAACUCGAAUUUAUUACUAAAUGUACUUGAAUUUAUUAGAACUCUAAAUUUUUAUAAAUGAUAAAAUUAUAAUAGUUUAAUUUUAUUAAUUUACAAAAAUUCUAAGCACAAUGUGCAAAAUUUAAAAUAACAAACAAUGUACGAUCAUUUUUUUAUAAAUUAUCGAUAAUAUGACUAAUUUAUGUUUAACUAUUAUGAUUUUUAUAUAUUCAGGCGUUGAACAAUAGGUUAAUUCUAGUAAGUAUAGAGGUGUAGGGGUGAGCAGUAUUCGGUUCAAACUGAAAAAAUCGACCGAGCCGAAUCGAUUUGAAAAUUUAGUUCGGCUUUUUAUAUAUUUCAGUUCGGUUUUUAAUUUUAGAAAUUUUGGUUAUUUCGGUUCGAUUCGAUUUUAAUCAGAAAAAAACCGAAAAAACUAAACCGAACCGAUUAGUGAUAAUAAUAUAUUUUUUUCAAUAAUAUAGAGAAAUUAAACCAUAUUAAGAUUAAAAUAUUUUAAUUAAAUUUUAAAAUACUAAAAAUAAAGUGUAAAAAAUAAAAAAAUUAUUAAAAAUCGAAACCGAUCAAACCGAACCGAAUCGAACCGAAUCAGACCGGUUCGGUUCGGUUUCUGACCAAAAUCGAUUCGGUUCGGUUUUUAUAAAUACUAAAAUUUCAGUUUUCGGUUUAUUCGGUUCGGUUCGGUUUUGAACCGAACCGACCGAAUGCUCACCUGUAAUUAUAUAUUCAGACAACUGAAUGGACACAUGGCAGUGCAUCAUCAAGAUAAAAUGCAGCCAAAACUUCAAGGUGUGGCAGAAGUUUUUGGUAUACCCACCAAGAAAGCAAAAUAUAUUUUACAUGAAACUUUUACUAUGUAUAUUAGUAAUACCAAAAUUUUCUGCAGUGUGAUCUUCAAUGAGCAGCUCAUUCACUAAAGUAAUAAUCACGCAAACUGAAUACUUCUUCAUCGAAAACCACAGGUUCAAAUCACAAAAUGUUAAAUUAUUUACUUGAGAAAAAUAUAUAAAAGGAGUUGUCAAGUAAACAACUUCAAAUAUUUUUGGGCUCUAUUUUCCAAAUGACGAUGUAUUUAAAUUUGUCAUUAUUAUAAUUGUUCACUUCAAACACGUCCAAAUCCUCAAUCAUUUCAAAUGCAAACAAAUCUAAACAGAGCCAAUUUAUAAAGCUAGUUUUAUAUCUAUAUUAAAGGCAACAAGUGGUUAAUGCUAUUGAAAGCACCACCAAGUAACAAAUAGCAGAAGCCAUGGUAAGAAUUCUAUGAUUGUAAUAUUUAACAUGGGGAGUUGGGGGAUUGACUUACAAGUACUUUGCUGCACUCCUUCACUUUACUCUUUUAGGUUGUGGUUGUUCUUCCCCAUAAUCAGAUUUUCCGUCUGCAAUAAUGUUGAUGCAAUCCAAUUGGAAGGAUUUUUCCCUGCUUCUCUUCUUGUUGGCGUUGGUUUCCAUCUCUUGUUCUAGGAAUUCUGGCUUGGUUUUCCCACGUUGUAAUGAGAACUUGCUUCCGAAAACGCAAGCAUUGCAUUUGUAGAGCUCAUCUCUCGAAUACAACAGUUGGAGUCCACACAUUUUCACCUUUAAUUUUACCUUAUCAUUUGCAUGAGAAUGUUGGAAUUCUGAUUUGAACUCAAAUGAGGCUUCCAUGACAUUGCAGCAUCUUUCUAUGAGCCAUUCAUUUAGGUUCCUACGAAAAUAAUUUUUUUUGCAGUAAAAAAGAAAAAGGUGGUCUGAUUCAGAGACAGCCUCAAAAGGCUCAAGAAAAAACAUAAACCUGUCAUCCCAUCUGUCAAAACAUUUUUCUGUCAUCCCACCUUUUUUAACAUCAGCAUUUUUGAAAUGGCAUUCACAUGUAAAGCAGAAACAAUCACCUUCUGUGUGGACAAGGACAGUGGGAUCCUCGAAAUCUAGAACAACACAAAAAGCAAAACCCAAGAAUAAGGAAUUAAAGCAAUAUGGAGGGAACAGAACAUCCAUUGAAGAUCCUGAGCUUUGAUAGCUGAACCACUCUGGAAUUUCACUUCCGGGUAAACCAACAAUUAGAUGAGCUUUUACCUGCUGAUGUGUUAAAGAGGGAUAAAAAGGAAAUUAAAAAGAAAUAUUUGGUGGACUACAAAGAGGACAAGGAAAGGAAAAGAGAGGCUUACAUGGGUGGCAGUGGCUAUUUCUUUCAUUCUCAGUAGUGCAUCUGCUAUAAUGUCACCACGUGCAUUCUGAUCCAAAUUUACACUAUUACAAUGGUUGAACACAUGAUACGAUUGAUGGGGAUCUUCAUAUUCUGCUAUUGGUGUAACAUAUGAAGUUCCUGUAGUUUCCAUUAAUGUACAACUUACCGGCAAAGCAUGGAGUCCCUUGUGGUACAUUACAACAGUUCUUUUAUCCCAUCCCCUAAUAUGGACAUCUAUAAGUGCACUUCUGUCAUUAUAUGACAAGGUUAAAUGGGAAAAAUCAUAUAGAGCUCGCAGUUUUGAAAGUUUUGAGUAUGCACUUAGAACAAGUCUGUGAAGGCAUUUUGCAGCCUUAAUGUCAAUGGGGAUUUCUAGAAGUGCAGUGCCAUCAACAUAUAGCUCUCUUAAAGAGCACAAACCAUAUAA
rnacentral:lncRNA from 1 species